rnacentral:rRNA from 1 species
UACGGAGAGUGCAAGCAUUAAUCGGAAUUAUUGGGCGUAAAGGGCGCGUAGGCGGAAAGAUAAGUCAGAUGUGAAAUUCCGAAGCUCAACUUCGGAGCUGCAUUUGAAACUAUCAUUCUAGAGGGUUGACGGAGAAACGGAAUUCCAAGUGUAGCGGUGAAAUGCGUAGAUAUUUGGAAGAACACCAGUGGCGAAAGCGGUUUUCUAGUUAAUACCUGACGCUGAGGCGCGAGAGCAAGGGGAGCAAACAGGAUUAGAUACCCGUGUAGU